GUCCACGCUGUAAACGAUGACAACUAGAUGUUGCUAGGGGAACCUAGCAGUAUCGAAGCUAACGCGAUAAGUUGUCCGCCUGGGAAGUACGGCCGCAAGGUUGAAACUCAAAGGAAUUGACGGGGGCCCGCACAAGCGGUGGAGCAUGUGGUUUAAUUCGAUGCAACGCGAAGAACCUUACCUACCCUUGACAUCCUAGGAAUCUUGGUGAGAGCCGAGAGUGCCGAAAGGAACCUAGAGACAGGUGCUGCAUGGCUGUCGU
rnacentral:rRNA from 1 species